UUGAACGCUGGCGGCAUGCUUUACACAUGCAAGUCGAACGGUAACAGGCCUUCGGGUGCUGACGAGUGGCGAACGGGUGAGUAAUGCAUCGGAACGUACCCAGAGGUGGGGGAUAACGCAGCGAAAGCUGUGCUAAUACCGCAUGUGAUCUGAGGAUGAAAGCGGGGGACCGAGCAGCAAUGUUUGGCCUCGCGCCUUUGGAGCGGCCGAUGUCGGAUUAGCUAGUUGGUGGGGUAAAGGCCUACCAAGGCGACGAUCCGUAGCUGGUCUGAGAGGACGACCAGCCACACUGGGACUGAGACACGGCCCAGACUCCUACGGGAGGCAGCAGUGAGGAAUUUUGGACAAUGGGCGCAAGCCUGAUCCAGCAAUGCCGCGUGCGGGAAGAAGGCCUUCGGGUUGUAAACCGCUUUUGGCAGGAACGAAACGGUGUCCGCUAAUACCGGGCGCUAAUGACGGUACCUGCAGAAUAAGCACCGGCUAACUACGUG
rnacentral:rRNA from 1 species